rnacentral:tRNA from 1 species
GCGCCUGUAGCUUAAUUGGAUAGAGCGGAUGGCUUCGGACCAUCAGGUUGCAGGUUCAAGUCCUGCCAGGCGCG